rnacentral:rRNA from 1 species
GGGUUGUGAGGUUAAGCGACUAAGCGUACACGGUGGAUGCCCUGGCAGUCAGAGGCGAUGAAGGGCGUGCUAAUCUGCGAUAAGCGCCGGUAAGGUGAUAUGAACCGUUAUAACCGGCGAUACCCGAAUGGGGAAACCCAGUGUGACUCGUCACACUAUCAUUAACUGAAUCCAUAGGUUAAUGAGGCGAACCGGGGGAACUGAAACAUCUAAGUACCCCGAGGAAAAGAAAUCAACCGAGAUUCCCCCAGUAGCGGCGAGCGAACGGGGAGGAGCCCAGAGCCUGAAUCAGCAUGUGUGUUAGUGGAAGCGUCUGGAAAGGCGCGCGAUACAGGGUGACAGCCCCGUACACAAAAGCGCAUGUGCUGUGAGCUCGAUGAGUAGGGCGGGACACGUGGUAUCCUGUCUGAAUAUGGGGGGACCAUCCUCCAAGGCUAAAUACUCCUGACUGACCGAUAGUGAACCAGUACCGUGAGGGAAAGGCGAAAAGAACCCCGGCGAGGGGAGUGAAAAAGAACCUGAAACCGUGUACGUACAAGCAGUGGGAGCCCCACCACCAAAGCAUUUGCUGUACCGC